AAGUCUGACGGAGCAACGCCGCGUGAACGAUGAAGGUUUUCGGAUCGUAAAGUUCUGCUUGUUAGGGAAGAACAAGUACCGUUCGAAUAGGGCGGUACCUUGACGGUACCUAACGAGAAAGCCCCGGCUAACUACGUGCCAGCAGCCGCGGUAAUACGUAGGGGGCAAGCGUUGUCCGGAAUUAUUGGGCGUAAAGCGCGCGCAGGUGGUUCCUUAAGUCUGAUGUGAAAGCCCACGGCUCAACCGUGGAGGGUCAUUGGAAACUGGGGAACUUGAGUGCAGGAGAGGAAAGUGGAAUUCCACGUGUAGCGGUGAAAUGCGUAGAGAUGUGGAGGAACACCAGUGGCGAAGGCGACUUUCUGGCCUGUAACUGACACUGAGGCGCGAAAGCGUGGGGAGCAAACAGGAUUAGAUACCCUGGUAGUCCACGCCGUAAACGAUGAGUGCUAGGUGUUAGGGGGUUUCCGCCCCUUAGUGCUG
rnacentral:rRNA from 1 species